AUGGGGCUGAAGGUCACUCAAUACUACAUCUUUGUUAUAAUGUUAACCAAAGGUGUCAGCAGUGAUGAGAUCAGACUGGACCAGUCUCCUGCUGUGGUAAAGAGACCUGGAGAAACUGUGAAGAUCUCCUGUAAGAUAAAUGGAUAUUCAAUGACAAGCCACAACAUACACUGGAUCAGACAGAAACCAGGGAAAGCUCUGGAAUGGCUUGGCUGGAUGAAUACAGGCAAUAAUGAUCCAACAUAUGCAGAGUCUGUGAAGAACCAGCUCACUUUUACAGAAGACGUCUCAGCAAGCACACAGUACUUAGAGGCCAAGACCCUGAGGACAGAGGACACUGCGGUUUAUUACUGCGCCCGACAAGCCACAGUGACUGGAGCUGAGGAAGCAGCUGUACAAAAACCAGACACACAUUUUCACACAGAGUUUAUUUUGAACAAGUCACAUGUCCUGUUAUCAUUUAUCUGUUAUGUUCUAUGA